AUAAACCCUUUCCUCCCCAACUUGCUUCUUGGUCAUGGUGUUUUUGCAGGAAUAGAAACCCUGACUAAGACACUGUCCCUUCCUGAGGCCCCCGGAGGGCUGAGACAUUUGGAGAGAGCUUCUUCUCCAGUGAGUGGCUGCCUCUGAGGUGAGCACCUCAAGAGGAUGCUACAGCCGCACCCAGUUCACAAUGAGAAAAACGGGCUUCAUCCAGCCAUCGUCUGCUCAGAGCCAAGCUGCGGCAAAUCUCAAUCCCAGGACUGCAUGACCAGAGCUGUGCCAACAGCCACCCUGUGAUAGCUCUCAGGAAUCCAGAAUGCCAAGACCACACCCACCAACAGAUGAGGGGUAGGAAGAAGAGAGGAGGCCAAGACUAGACUGGGGUCCCUGGCAGUGGGCGGCACUGACCUGGGCCCAUCCGGGGUGCCAACACAUUGGGCCUCAUGCUGACACGGGUUCAUAUCCGGGGAGCAGAAGUCCACCAGCUGCUCACAGGCCCUUCCUAGGGGAAGAAGGAGCAAGAGGCAAGGGAUGCCGAGCUCCAUGGAGCCCACGCAGACACUGGCAUGCCUGCAGGAUUGGGGAUGCCCUGGACUCUGCAGUGCUUACCUGUGUACUGCAGGGGGCACUGACAUGUGUAAUUCCCCACGCCAUCUACACAGACACCCCCGUUGACACAGGCAUGCUUAACACAGUCAUCUGUGUCCACUCCACAGGUCGGCCCUUCAAAGCCGGAGGGACAGGAGCACCUGCGGUAGGGGGCAGAGAAUGGAGAGGAGCUGGGAAAACCUGUGGCCAUUGGCCAGAGUCCUUAUUCCACACCAAUGGUUGGAGCUCUUCUCUAGACCAGGCCCUUGCCAGAGGGCAAACAGAUUAAAGGGUGACAAGACCAGCCCUGUCCUCAAGGAACCCUCUGGCUUGCAGUCUGGUGUUGGAGACCAAGUGAAAAGAGUGAAGUACAAUCACGAUGGUGGAGGCUCUGAAGCCAGGCAUGGGAGAAGAACACCCAACUCCUCCUCACCAAGGCAUAGUCAGGCAGACUUCCUGGCAAAGGUGAUGGGUUAGCCUCAGCAAGAGUCCCAACAGGGGAGGGGAGGCAGUGGGCACCGAGGGAUGGGUGAAGUCUGAAGUGAGAAGGUAGGCCCUGCUCAGCUACACAGCUCACGUCCUUGAGGACACAGACUUCAGGGACAGAGAAAGAACAGAGCUGGGCUGAGCCAUCUCUGGGCUGUAGAAGGUUCUUGAGGUUGGUGAUUUACAAACCAGGGUAGUCAUUAGCUUAGGACAUGUGAUUUUUCCCGGGGGUCAGAGGGAGAGGGCUGGGGGGCUUCCGCCCAGCUUUCCAAACGCCUAUAAAACUCCUCAAACAUCACCAUGAGUUGGAGACAGAUAGCAGGGUAGCUGCCCUCUCCUGUCAUGCUUAGGUGGCACUCUGCCUAAGCAGGAGGUGGGGCUGUGUCUCCAGGUGCCAAGGAAGGCAGCAAGCAGACAAUUAAAAAUAACUGGCAGGAGACUCGGGGAACUGAGCCUCUAACCGAACUGAAAUACUGCUGCCACCUGCUCACUCUGGAGAUUCUUGUCCUAUAAACUGUAAGGGUUUCCAAUAGCUGAGUGCCAGGUCUAUGAUGAAUCCACUAACCCCGACAGUGGAUCUGUGUGAACAGACCUUCCCAGAAUAAAAUAGACAUGCAAAGAAAACAGCAGGGCAGCUGCCCUCUCCUGUCGUGCUCAGACCAUCUGGGGACACAUGGGCCCACUGGCAAAGAAUACAGACACACCCCCACAAAGGAGUCCAGUAUCAGCACACAUUACCUUACAGGUAAUAACUGUGAAAUGUAUAGCAGUUACAUUGUUUUGUGUGUUAUCAGUCAUCUUACUGAUAAGUGAGACACAAGAAACUAUUUCUUUGUAAUUGUAUUUAUUUGUUUGGUUUUGUGUGCAUGUCUGUAUAUGGACCGGAUACAUGCCUGGUUCCCUUGGAGGCAAGGAAAGAGCAUCCGGUUCCCUGAGACUGGAGUUAUAGAUGGUUGGGAGUCACCAUGUGGGUGGUGGGACUCAAACCCAGGUCCUCUGAAGAGCAGCCAGUGCUCUUACCCACCGAGCCAUCUCUCCAUGCUCCAAAGUAAUUUUUUUCCAAAGUAAUUUUAAUAAAAUAAAAUUUGUGAGAUCGGAUCUCCCUAUGUAGCUAGCUUAAGCAGGCUUCAAAUUCACAAUCCUUCUGCCUCAGACUCCUGCAUCCUAGGAUUACCUAUGUGUACCACCAAACCCAGCCAAAAGAAACUUCUAAUUAGGAGCUUAGGGUGACAAGAAAUGAGGAGGGACAUUAAACUUGAGCCCUUAAACUCUCGCUGGUGACAGAGGCUCCUGGUGUACAGUCACUUCAUUGCUACGGAGGGGGUUGCAGGUGACAUUUUGAAAAGGCAGGCAAAGUGCGGUAUCAGAAGCUGUGAUCUAAGCACUGGGAUGCCAAAGGGAGGCAGAAUUGAGAACUCCAGGGCAGCCUCGGCUACACAAUAAACCCUGUCUCAAAAAAAAAAAAAAAAAUGAAUAAAUAACAAAGUGGCACCCCCAUGGCUAUCCUCACAGUUUCCACAGGAGGGUGGGGAUCGUGUGCUUAAUCUCGUUGUUUUACUUUAAAAUGGCAAUAAUAUUUAUCAUAUCUAUGAGACUGUCUCUUUUGCAUGAAAAAA